rnacentral:rRNA from 1 species
CGGCAACAGCUCAAAUUUGAAAUCUGGCUCUCUUUGGGGGUCCGAGUUGUAAUUUGCAGAGGAUGCUUUGGCAUUGGCGGCGGUCUAAGUUCCUUGGAACAGGACGUCAUAGAGGGUGAGAAUCCCGUAUGUGACUGGAUACCUAUGCUCAUGUGAAGCUCUUUCGAC